rnacentral:sRNA from 1 species
AUUUAAACCUGACAGUAGCGGGCACCGAACGUAGAGAGGUAAAGCGGAUGGCAGGACUUUCG